rnacentral:lncRNA from 1 species
UUACUUACUGGGGAAGGCCAAUAAGUGUCCCCGCUUGGGGAAAUGAAUUAGUAUAGCUAUGGGUUGGACCUCUAAAGGCGGUCACAAAUCCUAUAUCAUGUAUUCAUGCUUAUGUGUAUGCAUGAUGUAUAUGUUUUAUGCAUGAUGCAUUAUUUGGGAUAACGCCUCUUUUAUGAUAUACAUGAUGAAUAUGUGACUUUGUGGGAACCAAUGUUCUCACGACGUUCUGAGUUUCUGAC